UUACUUUCACUACCCUUUCUGAGCAGUUGCACAAUCCAGAGUGCUCAGCUACAUGAGGUUGUAGUAAGUCUAAAUGCCACGCAAAAUUAUGUGUGGUUCCAUUAAACUGCCAUGCAAAAUUAUGUCCAUUAAGUUUCCUGGAAGAUGCCUGUUUCGGAUAUCUGAAGAUGCUUCGGUGUGACUGGGACCAAGAAGAAAAAUCAAGGGCUGGCCAGCUAUACCUGGGACUUCCUGGGGCAUUUUUCCUGGGCUCAGGAAACUAUAUACAUAAGGAUGAAGAAAAGGUUUGGAAGGCAGAAGAGAUGGUUGCUACCAAGAAAAUAGUGUCUUCUAGACAAAACAGGAUUGGUGCACAUAUGAGCGCACAGAGACUGUGGCACCAUGCACAUGGAUUGUGUGGGUUGGGCCAGAUGGAGUCCCAGCACUGAGAGGGGGCUUGGACACAAACUUUCAUCCUCAAUCAAGAAGGUGAAAGUGGAUCAUCAAUUUCAAGACUGCACAGGACCAGAGGACCAGAUCUCUCUCUCUCUCUCUCUCUCUCUCUCUCUCUCUCUCUCUCUCUCUCUCUCUCUUUC